GAUGAAGAACGUAGUGAAAUGCGAUACUUGGUGUGAAUUGCAGAAUCCCGUGAACCAUCGAGUCUUUGAACGCAAGUUGCGCCCGAAGCCAUUAGGCCGAGGGCACGCCUGCCUGGGCGUCACACGUCGUUGCCCCCCCAUCUACUCCUUCGGGAUUGCGGGGGGCGGAUGAUGGCCUCCCGUGCGCCUCGUCGCGCGGUUGGCAUAAAUACCAAGUCCUCGGCGACGCACGCCACGACAAUCGGUGGUUGCGAAACCUCGGUUGCCCGUCGUGUGCGGUCGUCGCGCAUCGAGGGCUCGAAAAAAUUGCCGGGCUCCGGCUCGGCUUUCAACGCGACCCCUGGUCAGGCGGGGUUACCAGCUGAAUUUAAGCAUAUCAAUAAGCGGAGGA
rnacentral:misc_RNA from 1 species